GAGGAAGAAAACUGCUGUUCCUAUGUCCUUGCCCCUGUACCUAGAAGAGUGCUAAGUAUAGAAAUCAUAUUUGAGUUUCAUAACUUAUUUUGCCCUGGGCAUGAUUGUGUCCCAAAGCAUCAAGACUCGAGGUUUAUUUGCCCUUUGUAGAGAGGAGCCAUGCAGAACAGAAGCUUUAUAGGACCAGGGAAGGAAGAAUCUCAGAGGAAGAAAAAAGGUCAGCUGUGCAGUUCUCCUGUGCAAAAAGCAGAUCAAGGGACAAGGCAAAUCACCCAGUACUUUCCCCCUGACCCUCUAAAGAGAAGAGAAGAGGCCACACAGGAACCCUGAGAGAGUGGACGGCCAGAACAGCUCUCUCCAGGAACAUGGGCAGUAUUUUUUAAAAUUCUUCCCAAAAGAUAUAUAAGUGUUCAAUAAACACAAGAA
rnacentral:lncRNA from 1 species